AAGUUCCUGCUGUGUGCGUGUCGUCCAUCGGACCGCCGUGGCUCAUUAAACCCACAUCUCUAAUAAGGGAUGCCGAUAUGAAUCUGCGGAUUGCAGGCCUCCCGGCGAAGCCGGACGUUGGAAGCAGCGAAACAGAACUUAGGCGACCCACCUGCCCUAUCGUGCAGGUUAUAAUUGAGCCAGCACGGCAUUUGCGGGACACUU
rnacentral:other from 1 species